AGCAGCCGCGGUAAUUCCAGCUCCAAUAGCGUAUAUUAAAGUUGUUGCAGUUAAAAAGCUCGUAGUUGAAUUUCGGGAUUGACACAUCGGUCGUGCCUUAAGGGGUGUGAACUGGUGUAGUCAAUUUCUCACCUUCUGGAGAACCGCGAUGUCCUUAAUUGGGUGCCGCGAGGAACCAGGACCUUUACUUUGAAAAGAUUAGAGUGUUUAAAGCAGGCAUUUUUGCUUGAAUACAUUAGCAUGGAAUAAUAAAAUAGGACGGCAUGAUUCUAUUUUGUUGGUUUCUAGGAUCACCGUAAUGAUUAAUAGGGAUAGUUGGGGGCAUUAGUAUUCAAUUGUCAGAGGUGAAAUUCUUGGAUUUAUUGAAGACUAACUACUGCGAAAGCAUUUGCCAAGGAUGUUUUCAUUAAUCAAGAACGAAAGUUAGGGGAUCGAAGACGAUCAGAUACCGUCGUAGUCUUAACCAUAAACUAUGCCGACUAGGAAUCAGACGAUGUAAUUUUUUAAUGACUCGUUUGGC
rnacentral:rRNA from 1 species